rnacentral:rRNA from 1 species
GAUGAACGCUGGCGGUAUGGAUAAGGCAUGCAAGUUGAACGGAACUUUUGUUUUCUCUAGUUGAGAUUAUAUCAAUGCUAAAGGUCGCUUAAGUUUAGUAGCAAACGAGGUAGGAAUAUAUAGGAAUCUCCCCCAAAGUCAGGAAUAACUAGUCGAAAGAUUAGCUAAUACUUGAUACUCCGCAAGGAAAAAGAUUUAUCGCUCUGGGAUGAGCCUAUAUGGUAUCAGCUAGUUGGUAGUGUAAUGGACUACCAAGGCUAUGACGCCUAGGAGAGAUGAGAGUCUGACCUCCACCGAUGGGACUGAGACACGGCCCAUACAUCUACGGAUGGCUGCAGUCGAGAAUAUUUGACAAUGGACGCAAGUCUGAUCAAGCAAUACCGCGUGAACGAUGACGCUUUUCGGAGUGUAAAGUUCUUUUAUGUGGGAAAAACGAUGAUGGUACCACAUGAAUAAGGGGUUGCCAACUCUGUG